CCUACGGGAGGCAGCAGUGAGGAAUAUUGGUCAAUGGCCGCAGGGCUGAACCAGCCAAGUCGCGUGAGGGAUGACGGUCCUAUGGAUUGUAAACUGCUUUUGUCAGGGAGUAAAGCGCCUCACGUGUGGCGCUUUGCGAGUACUUUAUGAAAAAGCAUCGGCUAACUCCGUGCCAGCAGCCGCGGUAAUACGGAGGGUGCGAGCGUUAUCCGGAUUUAUUGGGUUUAAAGGGGGCGUAGGCGGCAUGUCAAGUGCGCGGUUAAAUGUCCGGGCUCAACCCCGGCCUUGCGGUGAGAACUGGCGUUCUUGAGUGAGCGGGAAGCAUGCGGAAUGCGUGGUGUAGCGGUGAAAUGCUUAGAUAUGACGAAGAACCCCGAUUGCGAAGGCAGCUUGCGGCAGCGGUACUGACGCUGAUGCUCGAAGGCGCGGGUAUCGAACAGGAUUAGAUACCCCAGUAGUC
rnacentral:rRNA from 1 species